CCUACGGGAGGCAGCAGUGAGGAAUAUUGGUCAAUGGGCGGGAGCCUGAACCAGCCAAGUCGCGUGAGGGAAGACGGUCCUACGGAUUGUAAACCUCUUUUGCCGGGGAGCAACGGGGUCCUUGCGAGGGCCCAAUGAGAGUACCCGGAGAAAAAGCAUCGGCUAACUCCGUGCCAGCAGCCGCGGUAAUACGGAGGAUCCAAGCGUUAUCCGGAUUUAUUGGGUUUAAAGGGUGCGUAGGCGGAUUGAUAAGUUAGAGGUGAAAUGUCCGAGCUUAACUCGGGAACUGCCUCUAAUACUGUUGAUCUAGAGAGUAGAUGCGGUAGGCGGAAUGUAUGGUGUAGCGGUGAAAUGCUUAGAGAUCAUACAGAACACCGAUUGCGAAGGCAGCUUACCAAUCUAUAUCUGACGUUGAGGCACGAAAGCGUGGGGAGCAAACAGGAUUAGAUACCCCUGUAGUC
rnacentral:rRNA from 1 species